GCCUUCUUGGUGUAGCGGUCAACACGCUCGACUCGUAACCAAGAGGUGCGUGGUUCGAUUCCCGAUGAAGGUG
rnacentral:tRNA from 1 species